UUCAUGUUAAUUUAGGUGUCAUGCAUAUAAAUAUAGCUAUAUAAACAUAUGUUUAAUUUUUCAGUUUGUGUGAAGUCCUCCAUAAAUACAAGAAACAGUUGAUUCUGAAAUUCUUUAGUCAUGUACUUUUAAGGAUAUUUUCCCAAUAUUAUAUUAUCCCCAAAAGGGCCUAUAUAUUUAUGUCAUAUUCUUUCAGUCAAUUUUUGAAUACCGAUUAUGUAACAUUUAUGUUACUUUGAUAAUAUAAGACCAAUGUUGUUGUUACAGACCCAGGGACUGUCUAGGUGCAUUACAUGUCAUAAAAGUGCCGGGACAUAAUGUGGUGGCAAUACAUUCUCUAAUUACCGGUAACACCUGUCACAAAGGGACGGGCCAUUUGGGUUUGUCCUCAGGGAAUGUGUUAUGCAAUUUGUGUAUUCAUGAAAUAACAAUCAACAAACUAUGUACUUAGUCCUGUGAUGUAGGAUUGAUGCAUUCGUACUUCGUAUAAAUAAAUGAAUUACAUUUUUUUCUUAAUCGUGUGCGAAAUACACAUAAUGUCGGAAAGCUGUUAAAUCCCCAAAUACUGACUUCGUUCCUAAAUAAAUCACAACCCUCACUUAUAAUUGUAUCACUGUGUAGAUUAUUUUAUAUUUUAAUGAUGAAAAUCACGUUCCUGUCACUGUUAAUGUAGAAUACGUCAGUCACUCAACCAGUUCCACUAUUAUUUUCCAAAAAGAUCAAAGAUGAAAAACAGUUAUCAAGAUUUAUUUUCCAUAUCUUUAGAAGAUACUUAAUCUUUACAUUGAAACUGCCAUCUUGAUAUAUUAUUUUGUAUUGAAUGACAUUAGAUAUAUGCUCCUAUACCGCCGCUGGUGUCUUAAUUUGCGAGAAUUAAACAUUGGUUUGCACCCAACCAUGCGCGUGCCAAAUUAUACAGCGUCAAGCUUUCAGAGCGCCAACUUAGUUUUCCAUAGUAGAAAUUAAGCAAAAUUAAUAUUUAUCAAGUUUCUUUUGGCUAGAACAUAUGCAUGCUGUUGUGGUUUUUAAAAAAAAUCUUCGUUCUCUCUGUUGUUAUAUAUUAUUAUAUAAUAUUAAAACAACAAGUACUAUAAAAUAUAAGACGGAAAUAUAUUACAUAUUAUUUACGCAUCCGGCUGCUCACAAUACAAUGCUAGUUACCAAUAUUUUUGUCCCAGGGAGUGAAUACCAAUUAGACAAAGCCAGCUCUACAGGCACUGCCUCUCUCAAAGACAGCAAGAAGAGUCGUAACCGAGUCCUCGGUAUACGCCAUCGCGACCUUCCCGUCCAGAAGAAACGGAGGUACAAGGACGCAUGAAAGAUAGCUCAGUUGAUGUCCUCUGAGGAAAGUAUUUAUGACGAAGACGGCAUAAAGAUUUUACAGUACGGCCAAAGAACUGUGAGUCAACGGAACUGCAGAUGGCGAAGAGCCUUGCAGAUGAGACAUACAUGAAGAAGCUGGACAGUACAGCAGCCUUCCCUAAGGCAAGAUGUGUCCGUUGACCACCAUCCAAAAACCCAUUCCCUGACAUGAAGAAGGAUCUGUCAUUGGUCAAUACCGAGUAGGGAAUGCUGUAGUGGUGUGGUGUGGUGUGGUGUGGUGUGGUGUGGUGUGGUGUGGUGUGUAAAGUAAUACAUGUGUCAAUUUCUUGUUCUAAAAAAUACAGGUAUAAGUAUUCA